AUGGGGAGGGGGAGGAACUUCAUGUUCGACAAGUUUAAAUUUUACGAUCUGUCUUCGAAAGUUGAAGGUGUUCUUGGUAGGACUUAUCCGCCGGAUUUUGAAAAUCCAGUGGCUAAGUUAGGUGUGGCGAUGCCAGUAGUUGGAGGUGAAAAUAGAUAUAGAACUACGUCACUUCUUUCUGCUGAUUGUGGUGAUUGUUUAUUUGUUCCUGGUGAUAAUUCCGAAAACAAAGACAAUGUGAUUGUACAAGUGUUGCCAAUAGCGGGAAUGCUAUAG